rnacentral:lncRNA from 1 species
CCCCGUCUCUACUAAAAAUACAAAAAUUAGCCAGACGUGGCAGGCACCUGUAAUCCCAGCUACUUGGGAGGCUGAGGCGGGAGAAUUGCUUGAAACCGGAAGGCAGAGGUUUCAGUGAGCCAAGAUCUUGCCACUGGACUCCAGCCUAGGUGAAAGAGCAAAACUCUGUCUCAAAAAAAAAAAAGAAGAAUGAAAACAAGUCUCUAGGCAAUCAGAACCCAUAGAGCGGCUGCAGUUUGUGAGAUCAUCAAAAUCUGGACACUCCCUUUCAAAGAAACGUGUAGUGGUCAGGAAAGCUUUCCAGUCACCGGCAAUGGCCAGGAACUGGAGUAGAGUGGACUGAUUUCAUAGAAAGAAAAGAGGCCAGGUCACAUGGUUUAUGAAACACUUCAACGAUCUGCUCAGAGUUUUCAGCUUGAAGACCCCUAUGAAACUGACCUUGGCCCUUUUCUGCAAUGAGUAUAUUUGAGACAUGGGGAGAAAUUGCAGAAAGGUGCCGAUGUCAGUUUUAUAGGGUCUUCAAGAUUAUGAUUAAUUGAAUAAGUUAUAUGUUUUUAGACUUCGGGAUGAUUGUUUAUAAUGUCACUUGGAGGGUAAUGAAACUCAGAAAGAAACAGGCCAGGUGUGGUGGCUCAUCCCUGUAAUCCCAGCAUUUUCGGAGGCCGAGGUGGGAGGAUCGCUUGAGCUCAGGAGUUCCACACCAGUCUGGCCAACAUAGCAAAAACUUGUCUCUACUAAAAAUAAAAAUAAAAUAAAAAAAUUAGCCAGGCAUGAUGAUGCAUACCUGUAGUUCCAGCUACUGGGGAGGCUGAGGUGGGAGGAUUGUUUAAGCUUGGGAGAUUGAGGCUGCAGUGAGCUGUGAUUGUGCGCCACUGCAUUCCAGCCUUGGCAAGAGAGUGAGACCCUGUCUCAAAAAAAGAAAGAAAGAAACAGUCCAGUUCCAAGUUUAAAAUUAGAAGUGAAUAGUAUUGCAUUUAUAUGCCAUCCUAGCUAUUUAUUGCUGCAUAACAAGUUACCCAAAACUUAGCAGCCUAGAAACAUUUAUUAUUUCAGAGUUUCUGUGGUCAGGAAUUCAUGAGUGGCUUAGCUAGGUGGUUCUGGUUCAGGUUGCAGCCAAGAUGACACCAGGGGCUGUAGUCAACUGAAGGCUCCACUGGAGCUGUAGUAUCCACUUCCAAGGCCAACAGAAGCCCUCAGUUCCUUAUCACAUGAUCCACCUUCCUUGGCCUCCCAAAGUGCUGGGAUUACUGGCAUGAGCCACAGCCCCAGGCCCCAAAUGCCCUUUUCCUUUAUUGUAUGUCAGGCUCCUCCUAUCCUAUGACAAAUCCUGCAUGACCCAGUUCAGAUGAUCUAUGAAAUUUUCCCAAAGCACUUCAUGCAGGUUUCUUUUCAGAAUUUACAAUUGUAACCCCGAUGACAGCUAAGCCCUCCAAGAUUCUUCAAAUCUAAAUAAAACUGACUUUGCCCAACCAUUUAGUCUCAAUUUGACAGCCUGUGGAAGCCAAGGCUUUCCCUUGUAUUUCUGCAGAGUCUCAGAGGCAUACAUUUUCACAUCACCUCUUUUCUCCUGGACUUCCUAAUUCUCAGUUGUGGCCUGUGUUCUUACCUUAUAACCCAGAUUGGAGAUUCAGCUCCUUCACUGCUUUCCAGGCAAAACCUGCUGAUACACAGUAUUUAUGAGUACAGAGACUUUACUGACGAGCACAGCACACACAGCAAAUCCUUUAAAUCUCAAGGCAUCAGGCUGGCCCUCCCUGGUCCUCUUUGACUCUUUGGCCAUGUGGUGUCCCCCUGUUGCCCUUUCCUGGUGCAGUUUCAGUCUCCCCAUUUUUCUGAUCUUCCCUCACUCUCUGAAACAACAAACCUCUUCGAAAGCCUUU